AACUGAUACUACCUGCGGGAACCUGCGGAGGGAUCAUUAUAGAGUUUUUAACUCCCAAACCCAUGUGAACUUACCUUUGUUGCCUCGGCGGAGCCUACCCGGUACCUACCCUGUAGCGCCCCGCCGGUGGACUUCUAAACUAUUGUUAUUUUAAUGAUAUCUGAGAGUCUUAUUUUAAUAAGUCAAAACUUUCAGCAACGGAUCUCU
rnacentral:misc_RNA from 1 species